GAUGAACGCUGGCGGCGUGCCUAAUACAUGCAAGUCGAGCGAACGGACGAGAAGCUUGCUGCUCUGAUGUUAGCGGCGGACGGGUGAGUAACACGUGGAUCACCUACCUAUAAGACUGGGAUAACUUCGGGACACCGGAGCUUAUAGCGGAGGAUAUUUUGCACCGCGUGGUUCAAAGGUGAGUGACGGUCUUGCUGUCACUUAUAGCUGGAUCCGGGCUGCAUGAGCUAGUUGGUACGGUAACGGCCUAUCAAGGCAACGAUGCAUAAGCGAGCUGAGAGGGGGAUCGGCCACACGGGAGCGGAGACGCGGUCCAGAGUCCUACGGGAGGCAGCAGUAGGGUAUCUGCCGCAAUGGGCGAGAGCCUGACGGAGCAACGGCGCGUGAGUGAUGGAGGUCCUCGGAUCGUAAAGCUCUGUUAUUAGGGAAGAACCUAUGUGGAAGUAACUGUGCACAUCCUGACGGUACCGAAUCAGAAAGCCACGGCUAACUACGUG
rnacentral:rRNA from 1 species